GUUUGGAACCUACUUGUAUCAUAGUGCUAGUGAGCUUGUUGCUCCUCGAAACCAGGUUGGAGGUGACCGUCUUUACUCUCUUUUCCAUGGGCUCGCUGGAACUGCUUGCCUUUGGUUCGAUCUGGUUCAACCUGAGAAGUCAAGGUUCCCAGGUUAUGAAUUAUAGUUGAAGACUUAAAGCUCAGCUCAUACGGUAAGGUAAGGAAACGCAUUCCCCUCCGAGUAUGAAAUUUUGUAUAUUAUGCCACUGAUGCCUUGAUGUUUG
rnacentral:misc_RNA from 1 species